AAAGCGGGGACAUGGGAGAGGAGGCGGGGGGGGGAAGCAGAAUUUGGGAGGUGGUAGCAGCAAUCCGGGCCCUGGCACAAACACAGGACCAACUUGUCCGACUAUUCCUUUGGAAACACCCAACACCUGCAGGGCUGGAGCUGCCGGCACGGCCACGGGGGGCACAGGCAGGAUGUUUCCUGCUAGGAGUUUCCAUUUUUAAACCCUCCCGUUGCCAUAGAAACCUCAUCUCCAGCAGACCUGUGAUGCAGAGCAGCGCUGACCUUCCUCCCUCCUCUCCUUCGUCCCCCCCAGACGCGGAUUAGAAGAGGCACCUCCGCUAGUGAUGCCUUGGGAAGGCCAAGGGCGAGUGAGGAAACGCCUUUCCCUUGGGAUGUUUGGGCUUCGUCGGCCGUGCCGGCACCCCGGGUCCAGCCCCGCAGCGUGGAGUGACCCCGGCAAAGCCCUGCCCAGUCCCUCCCGGGACGGAUCCUGUGCAUCUGCAGCUGCAGGGAUGCAGGAGAUGCACGGAGCCCCGAGGAGACAAAGCCACCUCUGGGCCUGGGGACCCAGCGAGCACUUUUGGAAACAUCCCUUGGACCAUUUCGCAGGAGAAGAAGCACUAAAGAAACUGGUUUUCUCCUGAUUUUUGUUUUCUAGCUCCCACACAAGGUGAGCCUGUCUGCACGAGACCUUUGUGCCACUGCAGCAAAUCUGGAAUUAACAGGUCUCUCUUAAAACUACGUCAAAAUGCAAAUUCUUUAUUUUUUUUUUUUAAUGGAAAACAGAGAAUUUCAUGCUUCUUAA